rnacentral:rRNA from 1 species
GAUGAACGCUGGCGGCGUGCUUAACACAUGCAAGUCGAACGGAAAAGCGCUGCUCUUGUGGCGCUCUCGAGUGGCGAACGGGUGAGUAACACGCGAGUAAACUGCCCUUGUCUUUGGGAUAACUUCAGGAAACUGGGGCUAAUAUCGGAUAGGAGCUACUGCAGCACGGUGGGGGUUAGAAAGUUUCGGCUGUGGUGGAUGGUAUCGCGGCUUACCCGCUUGAUGGUGAGGUUGGUGCUGACCAAGCCUAUGACGGGUAGCCGGCCUGGGAGGGUGACCAGCCACAUGGGGACUGAGGUACGGACCAGAAGCCUACCGGACGCAACAGUGGGGAAUAUUGCACAGUGGGGCGGAGCCAGAUACGGCAACGCCGCGUGCGGGAAAAUGUCCUUCGAGUUAUAAACCGCUUUCGCAGGUAACGAAGCGUGAGUGACGGUAAUGGGUAAAGAAGCACCGGCUAACUACGUG